rnacentral:hammerhead_ribozyme from 1 species
CCUAGCUGACGAGUCUCGAAUAGGACGAAACACACGUCUUGAAU